rnacentral:rRNA from 1 species
GGUAAACGCUGGCGGCGUGCCUAACACAUGCAAGUCGAGCGAUUCUCUUCGGAGAAGAGCGGCGGACGGGUGAGUAACGCGUGGGUAACCUGCCCUGUACACACGGAUAACAUACCGAAAGGUAUGCUAAUACGAGAUAAUAUGCUUUUAUCGCAAGGUAGAAGUAUCAAAGUUUUUGCGGUACAGGAUGGACCCGCGUCUGAUUAGCUAGUUGGUAAGGUAACGGCUUACCAAGGCGACGAUCAGUAGCCGACCCGAGAGGGUGAUCGGCCACAUUGGAACUGAGACACGGUCCAAACUCCUACGGGAGGCAGCAGUGGGGAAUAUUGCACAAUGGGCGAAAGCCUGAUGCAGCAACGCCGCGUGAGCGAUGAAGGCCUUCGGGUCGUAAAGCUCUGUCCUCAAGGAAGAUAAUGACGGUACUUGAGGAGGAAGCCCCGGCUAACUACGUGCCAGCCGCCGCCGUAA